UUCACCUGCGGAGCUGUAGGCCGGAGAGCUGGCCGCCUCCUUCACCGGAUAGAUCACAUCGCACCAGAGGCCGCCUCCGUCUCUCAUUUUCUCCCUCUCCUCCGCCAUAGCUGUGAGGCCGAGACACCAAAAUAGGAGCUCGUUGUUCUUCAGGCUUGUACCACUGCUGAACACAACGAUCUGGAAAACUAUGGAAGCCAAUUGAUGGAUGGCCGCAUUGCUGCUGGAUAGGAGGCUGGAAAAAUGACUUGCUAAAUUGCUGCAUCUGAAUUAGGACUUUAUAUUUCAUUGGAUAUUUGUAUUUGAAUCUGGACACUUUGAAUUUGAAUUGUACCUUCAAUUGUCUUGAUGAGUAUUUGA